GGCCACCUUUAGUUCAAGUCUGGUUUUAUUGCUUUUGGCUGAAGGCUGUUUCAGAGCUUACAGAGCAAAUUCUGCUCGGAAGAGCAAAC